GAAGGUUCGUUUGGGCCAUAACAAGUGUCUCCUCAGAACACCUUGCAUAGGAAACAGAAUCCCUUGACAGAUGGACUUUUACCAUUAAAAAAAUUCCCAACACCCGGCAGCUGCUUUGCACCUAGUUUUAGGAUCAGGCUUAUGCUACCUUCAUAAAGUGAAUUGAGAAGGAGAGUUUUAGGUUAAUAGAGAAGUUGCAAGGAUAUAACAGGCUUUGGGGCCCACACUGAGUCAUCCCAUCAGCUUUCCUGCCUCUCCACCUUGCAGAGAGCAGAUUUCGGGACGUCUCGGCUUCCAUCACCCCCCAGGGUGCCGGUUGGACAUGGACCAUGAAUUAGACCUGCACACAGUUUGGGACAGGUUGGAUCUGUGGGAAACUGAAAGAGAAGCUAUGGUCUCUGUCUUGAAGGAACUAUAAACUAGUGGAGGAAAAAAAUAGUGCUGUAUGAAACACAUGAAAAUGGAAGCCAAGAGAGACUUUAUUUCAUUCUCUCUCAUCUCUCUUGCUUGGACCAUCUUCGGAUUCAAAUGUUUUCCUUGCCAAAUAUGGGCAAGAAAGCCUCUGGCAUUCUGCAGCAUCAUUUCC